UGUUGUUCAUGUUCUUCUUUCAUUUUUCACUCACUCUGCACUUCCUGAAGCUGGAAUAUACAGGCUGUUAGUUGCUACGGUACGUUUCCGUACUGCAUGUAAAAAGUGAAUUGUGACCAGUACUCAGAUUACUUUUUGUUCCUCAGCAGCGCCACAGCCACGUAGCUGAAGGCUAACAGUGAGAUGGGGUUAGCUUACAUACAGUAUCCCCACGUAUCGGCACAAAGGCCUUUGCACCUUUUGCGCUACAACUUCAAAAGAUAAUGUGCACACUGUCUCCACCCUACAAAAGCUGCUGCUCUAUUUUUAUAUCCUGUGUGAAGUAAGAUCAGGUGAUCUGUGUUGUGAAAGCGUGCCUGAAAAUGUUUGUUUGAUGUUUUCUGUGAAAUGUGCAGAUAAUUGUACAGCUUGUGUAACGCAGGUGACAUAAUUAUUUGCUGACUGAUCCUGGAGCUCUGCGUCUGCUGAUUUAACCUGCGCCCGCAACUGCCAGCAUUUUCGGGUUUCUGGUGCGGCUGGCAGAUAUCUGCCCAUGGUUCUGAGAUUGUGUUUCGACAAGCGUGUUCCCUCUUUUCCUCGCCACACAGACUGUUUACCUGCAUGUCAUCAAAGCGUACUCAGACACGACUGGUCACCUGAGCUCGGAUUCAAACGUAGAUGGAGCUACUCCCCUGUAGUUAACCUGGCUCAGCUUGAGCGACUCUCAGUGGGUAUCGCUGCCGGCUUUUAUUUGAUUUGCAGACAGUUCAAAUGAAGGCUCGGCGCACCGAAUGGCCAUCUGCUCUAACCUUGUUUCAUCGACCAUAAACAGACCGGCUCCAUCAGCGAAAGAAAAAAAAAGUCUUGGCCAAAUAUUUGCUGCUCUUCGACCCCAUUUGGUUUACUGUGUUCUCUGUUUGCAUUUCAAUGACCCACGGUCAGUGUCAGAACGAUGGCACGUGUGUCCCUGACGAGCUGUCCCCUGAUAAGACGCCAGUGCGAGGGAAAGGCGCCGAGGCCUUGUGGGAUAGGAGCGAGGGUGAAGGAUGGAGCAAAUACAGACAGGCUGCUGGUUCACACACACGUAACAGUCGAGCUCUGGUAUCAGCCUCCUCACACACAUCAAAAAUCCCGCUGCAGUGCCAACCGGCUCCCCGAUAACUGCAGAAGCCUUGUUCCCUUUUGUCUUGUGGUUCCCACCUUUAUCGGCUUGUAAAAUAUCCUCGCCGAAGUGUCAGGAAAAUGCUUCGCGGAGCAAUUGUUAUUCAUUGCUUUAUUAUCUGAAUGGCACUUGUCGACUAAAUAACGCCUCCCACUGUGCUGCCUCCUCAGUCAAGCAUAAUGUAGUGCCUUUAAUCCCAAACCUC